rnacentral:rRNA from 1 species
UACAGAGGUCUCAAGCGUUGUUCGGAUUCAUUGGGCGUAAAGGGUGCGUAGGUGGCGCCGUAAGUCGGGUGUGAAAUUUCGGAGCUUAACUCCGAAACUGCAUUCGAUACUGCGGUGCUUGAGGACUGGAGAGGAGACUGGAAUUCAUGGUGUAGCAGUGAAAUGCGUAGAGAUCAUGAGGAAGACCAGUGGCGAAGGCGAAUCUCUGGACAGUUACUGACGCUGAGGCACGAAGGCUAGGGGAGCAAACGGG